UUAAUGCAUCAUUUAUUUAUAACUUUUUAACAGCAGUGUGUAUAUGUAUGUUUUAUUUUAAUGAUAUAUUGACAAAUUCUAUACUAAUAUUUAAUCACAGUACAUGCAAUGUAUUAAUUAUAUAUAUAUAUAACUUAUUAAUAUAUACCUAAAAACUUAAAUUUUGUUGGACCUUUUGAACUAAUGAAAAGUAUAUUCUUAUGAAAACAAAUGUUGUAUUUCUACACCCAAAUUACUGAAACAGCAUUAAAAGAUUUGAAGAUAUCAUAGCUCUGUAUAGAGUAAGUUCAGUCCAAAAGGAUGGUCAAGAAGCCGAUGAGAGAACACAGGAAUUCUCCUGGAUGUGUCUAAUGAGGAAAUUGAAACGCUCAAGUCCCUCUGACAAAUACGCUUAAAUGAAGUCAUUCAAGAUUACUCAAGAGAUGCUGCACUGAUUAUUGUAAUGAUGCCCAUGGGGGAAGAGGGGUGUGUCCUAUUGUCCUUUACAUGGCUUGGCUAGAGAUUGUGUCACGUGACCUUCGACCUCCAGUUCUUCUUGUCCGAGGCAAUCAGGAGAAUGUGCUGACGAUGUACACCACAUUUUCCUGACAAAACUGUUCACACACGUACAUCAGAUGAAAAGAAACUCAACUUAUUAAUGACGUUAAAAAU